CCAGCGGCGGCGCGCACUAUUCCACCUGCCCAGCCCAGCCAGGAGCAGCCCACCCUAAGCCACUGUUUUCUCGACAUGGAAGGCCUAAUCCAUCCCCUUGCCUUGCAAGGACUCAGAUCUCCCUCAUUCUGAGGGGAUUCGCUCCAGACCAGCAGCCCCAAGAUUUUUUUCUUCUCCAGCCUUCGUGGAGUUGUUUCUCUUAGGACUCCGUGGCAAGGAAAGUGGCGAUUACAAUCGCAAGAUUUCUUCAGGAUAUCACUUAUAACAACAUUGUAUAGAGGGCAGCUGAAGAUAGAGCCCUGUGGCAAGUCAAUAGAGACCUCCGUCAAAGUUGGAAUGGAUCCAUUACCAAGACUUUUGGGAAGUGAUUGUUCAACCAGCUUCAAAUCACUCUAAUUUGCCCUAUAUCUACCCUACAUCUCUUCAUUAAUCAACGAGGACACACUAAAAGAUUUUUGUCUAAGAUACUAAGACGUACACGCACCGUCUUGACCUUCCAGCCCAACCAUGCUAUAAAAGAAAGAAAUGAACUUACACCUCACAGUUCUUAUUUGCUUUGCCGCUUCUCUUACCAACUCUGGACUUUUCCUCCUGGCCUGAGGCUCGCCUAACAUCAGACACAGGCCAUACCUAGAAGCUUGCUUCCUUCUUUUUUACUGUAACUGUACACUGUAGUUUUGUCUUCCUAAAUGCGUUAUACAUGUUACUGAAAAGCUGUGAUCAUUUGAAUCAUAUUCUAAGUAUACAAUGAACAGUUCAUUCCAUCAAUAAAGGUAUUGAUCAUUCCCU